CUGGCAGCGUCUCGCUGUCCGAGUUGUAGAUGAGAAGAGUGGGCCAUCUGGACUGCAUGGUGUCCAAGUACAAUAGGCCGUCAGUGGGACAUCAUAGAGGGUGACAAUCCCGUCCUUGACACCAAUGUACGAGUCCUUUUACGAUGCCUAUCUCGGAGAGUCGAGCAGUUUGGGAUUUGCUGCUUAAACAUGGGAGGUAGAUUCCUUCCAAAGCUAAAUACAGGCAAGAGACCGAUAGAGAACAAGUACCGCAAGGGAAAGAUGAAAUAGAACUCUGUGAAGGGAGUCAAAAGACGUGAAAUUGUUGCGAGAGAAGCGAUUCAAGUCAGCGUAGCUGGGCCCAUCAAGCCUCGCGCUUUGGACCAGCUUUGCCAGCGGUCUUGUCCUAGAGACUCGACUAAGGUGCCCUGCCCGGUCUGACGGGCAGACCUUCCCCCCUGGGGGAGGCCAGCGGCACGGCUGGUGGAAUGGCUUGCAAUCGACCCGUCUUGAAACACGGACCAAGGAGUCUAACAUGCAUGCGAGUAUAAGGGUGGCAAACCCGUAUGCGCAAAGAAAGUGAUAGCCUUUACGGCUGUGAAUGACCUGAUGACCAGACAAGCGAUAUCAUGUCCCUCGUACGGUCAUUGCCCAAGUCCCGUGGUCAGAUCCCAUGGACAUGGAGUUGGAGCGUGCAUGCUAGGACCCGAAAGAUGGUGAACUAUGCCUGGACAAAGGGAAGCCAAAGGAAACUCUGGUGGAGGCUUGUAGCGAUUCUGACGUGCAAAUCGAUCGUCUGAUCUGGGUAUAGGGGCGAAAGA
rnacentral:rRNA from 1 species